AACGAAUAUUGAAGACAUUCAAGAAAAAGAUAAUUACCCAUGCAGACAACAAUUGCUAAUUCACAAUGGAAAAGUUUUGAAAGAUGAAACUACUUUAGCUGAUAAUGAAGUCUCUGAAGAUGGCUUUCUUGUUGUCAUGCUCAGUAAGGUAAAUAAUAGAUCUAUGGGUGGUGAAUGUUUUGUUGAUAACUACGAAGAAGAGGAUGAAGAACACUUCUUUGAUGAAUCAGACGAAGAGGAUGAAGAAAAAUUCUUUGAUGACUUGGACGAAGAUGAGGAUGAAGAAUAAUUUGACUCAUUAAUUCUUGUUUAUUUUCAUUAUUUGAUGUAAUAAAUUUCACAUUGAAGGCUAAAUUGUCGAUAUUCAUGACAAAAUUGAUUAACUUUGGUUAGACAUUUAUUUUAAUGUAAUAAAUCUCACAUUGAAGGCUAAAUUGUUGA